GACGAACGCUGGCGGCGUGCUUAACACAUGCAAGUCGAACGGAAAGGCCCUGCUUUUGUGGGGUGCUCGAGUGGCGAACGGGUGAGUAACACGUGAGUAACCUGCCCUUGACUUUGGGAUAACUUCAGGAAACUGGGGCUAAUACCGGAUAGGAGCUCCUGCUGCAUGGUGGGGGUUGGAAAGUUUCGGCGGUUGGGGAUGGACUCGCGGCUUAUCAGCUUGUUGGUGGGGUAGUGGCUUACCAAGGCUUUGACGGGUAGCCGGCCUGAGAGGGUGACCGGCGACAUUGGGACUGAGAUACGGCCCAGACUCCUACGGGUGGCAGUAGUGGGGAAUAUUGCACAAUGGGCGGAAGCCUGAUGCAGCAACGCCGCGUGCGGGAUGACGGCCUUCGGGUUGUAAACCGCUUUCGCCUGUGACGAAGCGUGAGUGACGGUAAUGGGUAAAGAAGCACCGGCUAACUACGUG
rnacentral:rRNA from 1 species